AUGGCAUCCUCCUCUUCCUUCCUUCUCCUUGCUGCACUUCUUGCGUUGGUCUCAUGGCAGGCCACUGCUUCUGAUCCUAGCCCACUCCAGGACUUUUGUGUCGCUGACAUGAAUUCACCAGUCCGUGUCAAUGGGUUUGUUUGCAAGAACCCGAUGGAGGUCAAUGCGGAUGACUUCUUCAAGGCGGCCAACCUCGACAAGCCUAGGGUACCCAACAAGGUUGGAUCCAACGUCACUUUGAUCAACGUCAUGCAGAUUGCUGGACUCAACACCCUCGGCAUCUCAAUUGCACGCAUCGACUAUGCUCCCUUGGGUCAAAACCCACCACACACGCAUCCUCGCGCCACUGAGAUCCUCACGGUGCUCGAGGGGACACUGUAUGUUGGAUUUGUCACAUCCAACCAGCCCGCCCCCAACAGAAACAAGUUCCUCUCCAAGGUGCUCAACAAAGGUGAUGUGUUUGUCUUCCCCGUGGGGCUCAUCCACUUCCAAUUCAACCCCAACCCCCACCAGCCCGCUGUUGCAAUUGCCGCGCUAAGCAGCCAGAACCCAGGGGCUAUCACAAUUGCCAAUGCAGUGUUUGGGUCAGACCCAGCAAUAUCAGAUGAUGUUCUUGCCAAGGCAUUUCAGGUGGAAAAGAAUACAAUAGACUAUCUCCAGGCUCAGUUCUGGGAGAACAACCACUACUAA
rnacentral:rRNA from 1 species